rnacentral:rRNA from 1 species
CCUACGGGUGACAGCAGUGGGGAAUAUUGCGCAAUGGGCGAAAGCCUGACGCAGCGACGCCGCGUGAGGGAUGAAGGUCUUCGGAUCGUAAACCUCUGUCAGCAGGGAAGAACGGUCACUGUGCUAUUCAGCAGUGAAUUGACGGUACCUGCAAAGGAAGCACCGGCUAACUCCGUGCCAGCAGCCGCGGUAAUACGGAGGGUGCGAGCGUUAAUCGGAAUUACUGGGCGUAAAGCGCUCGUAGGCGGUAUGUCAAGUCAAGGGUGAAAUCCCCGCGCGCAACGUGGGAACUGCCUUUGAAACUGGCAAACUGGAGUGGGGGAGAGGAUAGUGGAAUGCCAGGUGUAGGAGUGAAAUGCGUAGAUAUCUGGAGGAACAUCGGUGGCGAAGGCGACUAUCUGGCACAUAACUGACGCUGAGGAGCGAAAGCGUGGGUAGCAAACAGGAUUAGAUACCCCAGUAGUC